rnacentral:rRNA from 1 species
CCUANGGGCGGCUGCAGUAAGGAAUAUUGGUCAAUGGGCGCAAGCCUGAACCAGCCAUGCCGCGUGCAGGAAGACGGCCCUAUGGGUUGUAAACUGCUUUUGUACGGGAAAAAACUCCCGGUCGUGAACCGGGACUGAUGGUACCGUAAGAAUAAGCAUCGGCUAACUCCGUGCCAGCAGCCGCGGUAAUACGGAGGAUGCAAGCGUUAUCCGGAUUCAUUGGGUUUAAAGGGUGCGCAGGCGGUUAUGCAAGACAGAUGUGAAAUCCCCGGGCUCAACCUGGGAACUGCAUUUGUGACUGCAUGACUGGAGUACGGUAGAGGGGGAUGGAAUUCCGCGUGUAGCAGUGAAAUGCGUAGAUAGGCGGAGGAACACCGAUGGCGAAGGCAAUCCCCUGGACCUGUACUGACGCUCAUGCACGAAAGCGUGGGGAGCAAACAGGAUUAGAUACCCCGNUANUC